UAACGCGUAGGUAACCUACCUCAUAGCGGGGGAUAACUAUUGGAAACGAUAGCUAAUACCGCAUAAGAGAGACUAGCGCAUGUUAGUAAUUUAAAAGGGGCAAUUGCUCCACUAUGAGAUGGACCUGCGUUGUAUUAGCUAGUUGGUGAGGUAAAGGCUCACCAAGGCGACGAUACAUAGCCGACCUGAGAGGGUGAUCGGCCACACUGGGACUGAGACACGGCCCAG
rnacentral:rRNA from 1 species